CGAGACACGCUGGCGGCGUGGAUUAGGCAUGCAAGUCGAACGGUAUCAUCCUUUCGGGGGUGAGAGAGUGGCGAACUGGUGAGUAACACGUAGGUUAUCUACCCUCAAGACGGGACAACCCAGGGAAACUUGGGCUAAUACCGGAUGUGAGCAACUUUUAGUUGUUUGAAAGGUGGCGUAAGCUGUCGCUUGGGGAUGAGCCUGCGUCCUAUUAGUUAGUUGGUGAGGUAACGGCUCACCUAGGCAAUGAUAGGUAGGCGGCCUUAACGGGUGGUCGCCCACACUGGGAUUGAGAUACGGCCCAGACUCCUACGGGAGGCAGCAGUCGAGAAUAGUCUACAAUGGUCGGAAGACUGAUAGUGCGACGCCGCGUGAACGAUGAAUCCCUUCGGGGUGUAAAGUUCUUUUAUAUGUGAGCAGUGCUUCUUAUAUUAACAGUAUGGGGAGAGAGAUAUUAGCAUAUGAAUAAGCAACGGCUAACUCCGUG
rnacentral:rRNA from 1 species